CCCCACAUGGAUGCUGCAGAGAGAGAUUGGACAGCACUGUCAUACAGUAGUUGCGUGGUGGAUUCAAAUGGCUUGAUCAGCUGAGAUGUCAUUAACCCGGAGCUCCUCUUCAGCCUCGAGUGGAACCGCUUCUCCUCCUAGCGAACAGGGUUCAGUUUCUGGUGAAGAACAUAUCUUCAACAGGGAUGGAUUUGCUGAGUUGGAGACCUGGGAGGACCCCACUCCUAGGCCAUCACCCUUUACUCUCAAGGAGCUGGGUGAUGCCUGGGUUGCUGCUGCAAAGCGCCAGCUCAUUCGCAGGCCCAAGACACCGCACCAUGAGGAGCUGCUGAGGCGCAGCCAAGAGCAUAACCAGAAGAGUUUGAUAAUAGCGUUGAACGUCUAUUCCAAGCAAAACAAUAUGCAACCUACUGACCUCGAGGUAAUCGAAGUGAAAGCAAGAAACCUAAUCAUCGAGGGGGGGAAAGGGAUACAUACACUUUAACUUUCUUGUGAAAAUGCAAGGUGACCCAUCUAGUUUGUUCUUUGCGGAGGUGCAUCCGGAUUGUAGAGAGGAGGAGGAUGUGUAUCUUUGCACCCCUUUGGAAGCUAAUGACUCGGGUAACUGUUAUGGGUGCAAGGACCGUGCAAAAGAGCUUUUGCAUCCCACUACCGGUGGCUACUUGGGUGGGCACAAAGAUGUUGUUUUCCCCUUCAUUUACGAAAGUGAUGAAGAAAGUGAAGAUGAGGCCUGAUUUCUCUUGGUUUCUUGCGUUAGUCUUAAUCUGAUGUGCUAGUGGGGUUGCGUACGACAAGAAAUAGUGUG